rnacentral:rRNA from 1 species
GUCUAUGGCCAUACCACCCUGAAUGUGCCCGAUCUUGUCUGGUCUCAGAAGCUAAGCAGAGAGGGGUCUAGUCAGUACUUGGAUGAAGAUAUUUACAUGAAUCUUCUAACCUAGAUAACAUUAGAUC